UACGAAGGGGGCUAGCGUUGCUCGGAAUCACUGGGCGUAAAGCGCACGUAGGCGGAUCUUUAAGUCAGGGGUGAAAUCCUGGAGCUCAACUCCAGAACUGCCUCUGAUACUGGGGAUCUUGAGUCCGGAAGAGGUAAGUGGAACUGCGAGUGUAGAGGUGAAAUUCGUAGAUAUUCGCAAGAACACCAGUGGCGAAGGCGGCUUACUGGUCCGGUACUGACGCUGAGGUGCGAAAGCGUGGGGAGCAAACAGGGAUUAA
rnacentral:rRNA from 1 species